CGUAGGUGGCAAGCGUUGUUCGGAAUUAUUGGGCGUAAAGCGCGUGUAGGCGGCUUGGCAAGUCAGAUGUGAAAGCCCUCGGCUUAACCGAGGAAGUGCGUCUGAAACUGCUGAGCUUGAGUCUCGGAGGGGAUGGCGGAAUUCCGCAAGUAGAGGUGAAAUUCGUAGAUAUGCGGAGGAACACCGGUGGCGAAGGCGGCCAUCUGGACGAGUACUGACGCUGAGACGCGAAAGCGUGGGGAGCAAACAGGAUUAGAUACCCUGGUAGUCCACGCUGUAAACGAUGAGAACUAGGUGUCGUGGGUGUUGACCCCCGCGGUGCCGCAGCUAACGCAUUAAGUUCUCCGCCUGGGAAGUACGGCCGCAAGGCUA
rnacentral:rRNA from 1 species